rnacentral:misc_RNA from 1 species
AACAAGGCGUACCUGCGGACCUGCGGAAGGAUCAUUACCAGAGUGCCUUCAGGCUCUCCAACCCACUGUGAACAUACCUACGUUCCCCCGGCGGGCUCAGCGCGCGGCGGCUCCGGCCGCCCGCGUCCGCCGAGGGCAUCUCAAACCCGAAUUUAUUCGUGUCUUCUGAGGGGCGAAAGCCCGUAAAACAAAAUGAAUCAAAACUUUCAACAAUGGAUCU